CUUGUUGUUAUUACUAUUACCAUGACAUCAUAACAGUGUAGCAUUCUCAGCCUCUGAAUAGCAGGGGCAGAGUGGGCUGGUAGGAAAUACUGGGAGCUGGAGGUUUGACAUCCUAGCUUUUGUCAGCAGGAGUGUGUGGCCAAGCUCCUUCAGCUUUUGGAGCCUCGGGUAGUUUACCCACUUAAAGGCAGGUGAUAGCAGCAGCCCACUGAGUGAAUGAGAGCUUCAGCUGGUGUGCAGAGAAGGGUGGAUGUCACAGCACUGUUAGUCUGGGUACUGGCACUACCACACUGGCACUAUCUCAGGCUUGUCAGCACAGAGGGAUCCACCAUCCAGCUAGCUCACAUUCCUCAGCAGCCAGCAGGAAGCUUCCGGAGAAGAGGCAGCUGGCUCUCUGUGAAGCAUGGAAGGCCUCAUGAAUUGGCCCAUAGCAUCUACCUCUGCAAGAGGAUUGGAAAAGUGCCUGGAAGGAAGGAGGAAUGAGAAAUGCUCUUGGGUGAAGAAAGCUUUCAUGGAAUGGAGUUGGAGCUGGGGUAGGAGGGGCUACGGAGGAGGAGGAACCCAAGCUUGUGUAACAGUACCUGCUACACAGCAGGUGCUCAAUAAUGAUUUGUUGUUGGAAUAAAUGAGCUCCUGGUUUUCCUUUAGGUCUCAGCUUCAAUGUUACCUCCCUUAGGAAGUAAUCAGCUUUGCCUGCUUAACAAUCCUCCAGCUGUGCUUCUCUUUUUCUCCCAGCACCAAGGCUUAGGGCUCUUCAUAGCCACCCCCUCCUUGGUGUAGAGGUGGUAGUGGUGGUGGAG
rnacentral:lncRNA from 1 species